UGGGGAAUUUUGGACAAUGGGCGCAAGCCUGAUCCAGCCAUGCCGCGUGCAGGAUGAAGGCCCUCGGGUUGUAAACUGCUUUUGUACGGAACGAAAAGCCUCUUUCUCAUAAAGAGGGGUGAUGACGGUACCGUAAGAAUAAGCACCGGCUAACUACGUGCCAGCAGCCGCGGUAAUACGUAGGGUGCGAGCGUUAAUCGGAAUUACUGGGCGUAAAGCGUGCGCAGGCGGUCUUGCAAGACAGUGGUGAAAUCCCCGGGCUCAACCGGGGAACUGCCAUUGUGACUGCAAGGCUGGAGUACGGCAGAGGGGGAUGGAAGUCCGCGUGUAGCAGUGAAAUGCGUAGAUAUGCGGAGGAACACCGAUGGCGAAGGCAGUCCCCUGGGCCUGUACUGACGCUCAUGCACGAAAGCGUGGGG
rnacentral:rRNA from 1 species